AUUGAACGCUGGCGGCAGGCCUAACACAUGCAAGUCGAGCGGAGCGGCGGAAGGGUGAGUAAUGCUUAGGACUCAGCCUGGUAGUGGGGGAUAACGUCCGGAACCGGGCGCUAUUACCGAACACUAUCACAUGAGCCUAGGUCGGAUGAGCUAGUUGGUGGUGGAAAGGCAUACCAAGGCGACGAUCCGUAACUGGUCUGAGAGGAUGAUCAGUGACACUGUAACUGAGACACGGUCCAGAAGCCUACGUGAGGCAGCAGUGGGGAAGAUUGGACAAUGGGCGAAAGCCUGAUCCAGCCAUGCCGCGUGUGUGAAGAAGGUCUUCGGAUGGUAAAGCACUUUAAGUUGGGAGGCGUUACCAACAGAAUAAGCACCGGCUAACUUCGUGCCAGCCGCCGCGGUAAUAC
rnacentral:rRNA from 1 species